ensembl:snRNA U6 U6 spliceosomal RNA
AUGUUGGACUUGGCAGCACAUAUACAAAAAUUCAAACAAUACGGUCAAGAUUAUCAUAGCCCUUGAGCAGGGAUGGCACUCAAACCAGGAAGCAUAAUGAACUAAG